CUGUAUUAUAAACUGAAUCCUCAGUCAGUGUUUAUGUUCUGCUGCAGUGUAGAUAAAUAUCUUCUUAUUCUCUUCAUUUGACAGUUUUAUGGUGAUAAUGGAAAUGUUACUUUAUGGAGUUCUCCUGAUGAUUAUUUCAUGUGUUAGUGGUCAGUCUUUGACCUCUUCAGAUUCUGUGGUGAAAAGACCAGGAGAAUCAGUCACUCUGUCCUGCAGUGCAUCUGGAUUCUCAAUGAGCAGUUACUGGAUGGCUUGGAUCCGUCAGAAACCAGGGAGAGGACUGGAGUGGAUUGGGUUUAUAUCUGGCUCAAGUGUAUAUUAUGCUCAGUCUCUACAAGGGCAGUUUUCCAUCACCACAGACACCAGCAAAAACAUGCUGUAUUUAGAGGUGAAAAGCCUGAAGACUGAAGACACAGCUGUUUAUUACUGUGCAAGAGAGUCACAGUUACACAAAAGACUGCAGGGCUGAACAAAAACUAUUC